AUUAAAAAAAAAAACAAAAAAAAAACAUAAGAAUGCUCUAGAAAGAAUGAGAUUUCACUUUUCAGCCUCAUUUCAAACACUUCCUCUUCUCUUGUCUGUCUCUGUUCUCAGACUAUCUCUCGUCUCUCUGCUCUUUCCCAACUACAGAUCUGGAGAGUGGAAACCAUAGUUGACUAAAGCGAAGCCAGAGCUCGAAAGCAAGCAUGUUAUUGUUCAAUAGCAAGAAAUCAGAUUUACCAAUUAAUAGAAUUGUGCAAUACUCAAUUUCGCAAGAGAAUUUUGAAUUCUUAGACUACUUAUGAAGUUCUCUCUAGUGAAAAGCAGAAUGCUUACCUUGGUUUUUAAAGGAGUAGUGUGUAUCAGCUGCACAUUUUUGUCUUGAUGUAAUCUCUGAAGUAAACCAAUUACUUGAUGUAUAUAGGAUGUAAACCAAUUUCUGAUGCUAUCAGUUGCACAUUUUUGCCCA